GGCGGACGGGGUGAGUAACACGUGGAUAACCUACCUAUAAGACUGGGAUAACUUCGGGAAACCGGAGCUAAUACCGGAUAAUAUAUUGAACCGCAUGGUUCAAUAGUGAAAGACGGUUUUGCUGUCACUUAUAGAUGGAUCCGCGCCGCAUUAGCUAGUUGGUAAGGUAACGGCUUACCAAGGCAACGAUGCGUAGCCGACCUGAGAGGGUGAUCGGCCACACUGGAACUGAGACACGGUCCAGACUCCUACGGGAGGCAGCAGUAGGGAAUCUUCCGCAAUGGGCGAAAGCCUGACGGAGCAACGCCGCGUGAGUGAUGAAGGUCUUCGGAUCGUAAAACUCUGUUAUUAGGGAAGAACAAAUGUGUAAGUAACUAUGCACGUCUUGACGGUACCUAAUCAGAAAGCCACGGCUAACUACGUGCCAGCAGCCGCGGUAAUACGUAGGUGGCAAGCGUUAUCCGGAAUUAUUGGGCGUAAAGCGCGCCUAGGCGGUUUUUUAAGUCUGAUGUGAAAGCCCACGGCUCAACCGUGGAGGGUCAUUGGAAACUGGAAAACUUGAGUGCAGAAGAGGAAAGUGGAAUUCCAUGUGUAGCGGUGAAAUGCGCAGAGAUAUGGAGGAACACCAGUGGCGAAGGCGACUUUCUGGUCUGUAACUGACGCUGAUGUGCGAAAGCGUGGGGAUCAAACAGGAUUAGAUACCCUGGUAGUCCACGCCGUAAACGAUGACGCUGCUAAGUGUUAGGGGGUUUCCGCCCCUUAGUGCUGCAGCUAACGCAUUAAGCACUCCGC
rnacentral:rRNA from 1 species